GCAUGACUGUGAAGAAGUCACGGAGACACAGGAGUGCACCAAAGUUUUCAUUGGGAAGGUUCCUAUAAUGCUGCGGUCUAGUUAUUUUACGUUGUACCAGAAUUCAGAAAAAGAUCUAACAGAACUCGGGGAAUGUCCAUAUGACCAAGGUGGAUAUUGUGACUGAUUCUGUCUUGUGCCUUACCAUGCUAGUGCUAAAGUUUGGCAUUCCUUGUGGUCUGCAGGGCUCUUCAGGGCAGUAUAUUCGGGCUACUCUUCCUUAUAUUUGGACAGAAAUGCCAAUAAUUAUUGUGUUUCGAGCAUUAGGGUUUGUUGCCAACAAGGAUAUAUUAGAGCAUAUAUGCUAUGACUUUUCUGAUACUCAGAUGAUGAAAUUAAUUCCAUCUAAUGCAAUUCCAUACCAUUUAAUC